rnacentral:rRNA from 1 species
GAGACUCUGUGCGCGUGCAUAUCAAUAAGCGGAGGAAAAGAAACUAACAAGGACUCCCUUAGUAACGGCGAGUGAAGCGGGAAGAGCUCAAAUUUGAAAUCUUCAAGGUUUUACCUUGACGAAUUGUAGUUUAAAGAAGUGUUUUCUGUUGGAGUUUUGGUAAAAGUUCUUUGGAAUAGGACAUCAUAGAGGGUGAGAAUCCCGUAUUUGACCAUUAUUUCCAGCUGUGUGAUACACUUUCAACGAGUCGGAUUGUUUGGGAAUGCAGUCCAAAAUGGGUGGUAAAUUUCAUCUAAAGCUAAAUAUUGGCGAGAGACCGAUAGCGAACAAGUACCGUGAGGGAAAGAUGAAAAGAACUUUGAAAAGAGAGUUAAACAGUACGUGAAAUUGUCAAAAGGGAAGCGUUUGACACCAGUGUUGUUUAGUUGAAAAUCAAUUCAAUAAUUUUUGAUUUUGAGUAGUAUUGACUUCAUCAGCUUGCUGCUUUCUUUUCAGGAAAUUAUUGAAUGCACUUUUCAGUUAACAAGUCAACAUCAAUUUCUUUUGUUGUAAAAGGGUAAGAGGAAGGUGGCUUACGCUUCGGCGUAAGUGUUUAUAGCCUUUUACCUCUGCAAUCGGAGAGAUUGAGGACAGCAGCGUAGACUCUUCGGGGUUAGAUACACUUGUGCUAAGCUAUAGCCUUGUAUAGACAACUUGUUGACUAUGCUCAGUCCAUGUAGCUUACUCGCUUGUGCUAUUUUACCUACGCUUAGGAUGUUGACGAUCAGCUGAGCGCG